rnacentral:tRNA from 1 species
ACAUGGGUGGCUCAGUAGGUUGAGCGUCUGACUUCUGCUCAGGUGGUGAUUUCGAGGUUUGAGUUGGAGCCCCAAGUU